rnacentral:rRNA from 1 species
UGGGGAAUUUUGGACGAAUUGGGCGCGAAGCCAUGCAUCCAGCCAUGCCGCGUGCGGGAAGAAGGCCUUCGGGUUGUAAACCGCUUUUGUCAGGGAAGAAAUCUUCUGAGUUAAUACCUCGGGAGGAUGACGGUACCUGAAGAAUAAGCACCGGCUAACUACGUGCCAGCAGCCGCGGUAAUACGUAGGGUGCAAGCGUUAAUCGGAAUUACUGGGCGUAAAGCGUGCGCAGGCGGUUAUGUAAGACAGAGGUGAAAUCCCCGGGCUCAACCUGGGAACUGCCUUUGUGACUGCAAGGCUUGAGUGCGGCAGAGUGGGAUGGAAUUCCGCGUGUAGCAGUGAAAUGCGUAGAUAUGCGGAGAAACACCGAUGGCGAAGGCAAUCCCUGGGCCUGCACUGACGCUCAUGCACGAAAGCGUGGGGAGCAAACAGGAUUAGAUACCCUGGUAGUCCACGCCCUAAACGAUGUCAACUGGUUGUUGGGAAGGUUCCUUCUCAGUAACGUAGCUAACGCGUGAAGUUGACCGCCUGGGGGAGUACGGCCGCAAGGUUGAAACUUAAAGGAAUUGACGGGGUCAUAGCUGUUUCCUG